rnacentral:rRNA from 1 species
CCUACGGGCGGCAGCAGUGAGGAAUAUUGGUCCAUGGGCGCGAGCCUGAACCAGCCAAGUCGCGUGAGGGAUGAAGGUUCUAUGGAUCGUAAACCUCUUUUAUAAGGGCAUAAAGUGUGGGACGUGUCCUAUUUUGUAUGUACCUUAUGAAUAAGGAUCGGCUAACUCCGUGCCAGCAGCCGCGGUAAUACGGAGGAUCCGAGCGUUAGCCGGAUUUAUUGGGUUUAAAGGGUGCGUAGGCGGCCGUUUAAGUCAGCGGUGAAAGGCUGUGGUUCAACCAUAGAAUUGCCGUUGAAACUGGGGGGCUGGAGUAUGUUGGAGGCAGGCGGAAUGCGUGGUGUAGCGGUGAAAUGCUUAGAGAUCACGCAGAACCCCGAUUGCGAAGGCAGCCUGCCAAGCCAUGACUGACGCUGAUGCACGAAAGCGUGGGGAUCAAACAGGAUUAGAUACCCUAGUAGUC